UUUNANUGGGGGAACCCUGAUGGAGCGACGCCGCGUGGGGGAUGAAUGGCUUCGGCCCGUAAACCCCUGUCAUUUGCGAACAAACCUUUUCGUUGAACAGGCGAAAAGCUGAUUGUAGCGGAAGAGGAAGGGACGGCUAACUCUGUGCCAGCAGCCGCGGUAAUACAGAGGUCCCGAGCGUUGUUCGGAUUCACUGGGCGUAAAGGGUGCGUAGGUGGUCAGAUAAGUCUGAUGUGAAAUCUCGGAGCUUAACUCCGAAACUGCAUUGGAUACUAUCCGGCUGGAGGAUCGGAGGGGGGACUGGAAUUCUCGGUGUAGCAGUGAAAUGCGUAGAUAUCGAGAGGAACACCAGUGGCGAAGGCGAGUCCCUGGACGAUUCCUGACACUGAGGCACGAAAGCUAGGGGAGCAAACAGGAUUAGAUACCCUGGUAGUCCUAGCUGUAAACGGUGCAUAUUUGCUGUAAAAGGAAUCGACCCCUUUUGUGGCGAAGCUAACGCGAUAAAUAUGCCGCCUGGGAAGUACGGUCGCAAGAUUAAAACUCAAAAAAAUUGACGGA
rnacentral:rRNA from 1 species